GGAAGAUCAUCGUCCCCGGUGGGGCGGCUGGACUUCAAAUCCAGAUGGGACCGCCAGCGGUCCUUGGCAGGUUCGACUCCUGUGAUCUUCCGCCA
rnacentral:tRNA from 1 species